UAAAACGUAGGAGACGAGCGUUAUCCGGAUUUACUGGGCGUAAAGCGCGUGUAGGAGGCGCUACAAGUUGGAUGUGAAAGCUCCCGGCUUAACUGGGAGAGGUCGUUCAAGACUGUAGUGCUAGAGUGAGGCAGAGGUAGAUGGAACUCCGGGAGUAGUGGUGAAAUGCGUAGAUAUCCGGAAGAACACCAGAGGCGAAAGCGAUCUACUGGGCCUAAACUGACACUGAGACGCGAAAGCCAGGGUAGCAAACGGG
rnacentral:rRNA from 1 species